AUGUGUCAUCACCGGAUCUGUGUUUCGGUCAGUCGUGAGUUGAAGCUCGAACUACAGUCUCAGUCUGAUGGCCUUCAGCUAGAACUUAAGAGAAAAGAAAGUGGUUUGCAGAUGCUGAAGUUAGAGAGAGAACGACUUAGCAACCAGAUCACUGUGGCUGAUGAAACUUAUUCAAAAGAGAAACAAACUUUGGUAGAAAAAAUAGUUGAACUGAAGAGAAGAAAGGAACAAAAGGACAGAGAAGUCUCUGUAAAAGAAAUGGAGAUAUUACAAGCUAAGCAAGAACUGGAACAGCAACAAAUGUGCUUGAGUAAUAGACAACAGGCUAUUAUUGAGUUGAAAGGAAAGGUGAAGCAACAGGUGGAACUGCAGAAGGAAGUGAAGUUUCAGCUUUCUGAAAAGAGAAGGGAGUUCUUGAAAGUGCAGUCUGCUGUGCAUGAAAUAGAAAAUAAAAUCUUCAGGAAAACAGCAGCAAUGCAAGAACACAUUACUCAUGAACUACGGAAUGAGAUAUCUAUUCUUCAUCAACAAGUACGUGAGAGAGAGCUAUUAGCAGAACAGGAUCGGCUGUUAAGAAGCAAAAUGGUGGAUGAUUAUGCAACUUUGACCAAGGAGAAUGCCAUGAUGCAAUCCAGGCUCUUGGAACUUAACAAGCAAAGAGAGAUAGAGAGAGUACUCAAGGAGGAGAGCUAUACAGCCCUUUCUGCUGGUAUCAUGCAGUUCCUUGCAGUAAAAGAUCAUGAAAAUCAUCUGAAGGAAGAGAUUCAGAGGUACCAAGAACUCCUGGAGCAGGAAGAGAGUACCUUCCGAGACCUUCAAGAUAAGAUUAGCAUUUUGGAAAAGGGAAGUACCUCUCAUGACUUAAAAAUUGCAACCAUGAACAGCAGAAUAACUGAAAUUAGAGCUGUAUUAGACAAAGAGGAACUGGACAAUAUGGAGUUAAAAAGAGAUAAAUCUCUGCUGAUUGAUCUUGCAUCUGAUCUACAGAAGCAGCUUGCUGAGAAAGAAAAUUUCCUACAGGCAUCCAUUAAGAUGUUGCAGCUGGAUGAAGCAAUGUCAGCAUUAAGAAUAAAACAUGCAUUUUGUUCAUCUAGUCCAUCAGAAAAAUGGGAUGAAAUCUCCAAAAUGACAAAGUCAAUGAAGAAUCUCAAAUAAGUGACAGAUACCAUAGUCAAUACAGUGGUGCCCUGCUGGAUGA
ensembl:lncRNA centrobin-like